CGGGGUCAUGGCCAGGCUGUGCUCGCUGGACUCGCACUCGUGGAUGGUGACGAUCUUGAGGGCAGGCGGCAGGUGCAGGCUUCACCUCCUCCCCUUCUCCUGGGUCUUCUUGCCCUGCUCGAAGAGCGCGGCCUCGUUGAAGGACACGCGGCGGGCGGUGGAGGAGCUGGAGGACAGGAACCGCUCGCUCUCCGCAUCCCGGUAGCUGGAGGAUGAGAGGCAGUCGGGGUCCUCCACUUUGAUGGUGAUAUCUAUGGAAAAGGGGGUGUCAGCAACCAGGGACCCCCCACCGUGGUGCACGCCAGCAUCACCAGCAUCCCCAGCUGAGGCCGGGCAAACUCGCUGCACCCAAGGCCUCAAUGCCAACCACCCAGUUGGGUGUUGGGUGAUGGGGGUGUGUGGCCAUCCCAGCAUCCAGGAGAGGGGGGUCCCAGGAGCUGCUUCACCCCCAGUGGGGAGCUGCUGGUGUUACUGGUGGGUGGGCACUGGCAGGUCGCUGUGAUGCUCACCCUGGGCCGGCUGCGAGUCCUCCAGUGGUGCCCACCGGGAGUGCCGGCGGUCGGCCUCGCAGCACCGGCGGCAGAUGAUCAGGAUGCUGGAGAGCAGGACCAGGGUGCCGCCAAUGAAGAUGGAGAGGAGGGCAAGGAGCAGCACGUACCCAUCCUGGGGGGACACCUCACCGGGCACCGCCUGCACCGGGCACAGGGGCUGAGCCGGGGGGGGUCCACAUCCCAGCCCCACAGGGGUGUGGAGCUGAUGCUGAGAUCUGCUCCCCAGAGAUGCUCCUGCUCCCCCGCCACCCCCGGGCCUGCUGCCAGCUCCGGGGACCUGCCUUCACCAAGGCAACGGCAGCCGGGGGGCCCCACACUGAGCAGGGAUGGGGAUGGGGACAGGACCCCAGCCCCAGCACGGGGGUCGGUGCCUGCACCCCCACGUACCCACACUCAGAGCAUCUCAGCGGGAUGCAGAAGGCACG